rnacentral:rRNA from 1 species
AGUGAACGCUGGCGGUAGGCCUAACACAUGCCAGUCGAACGGCAGCACAGUAAGAGCUUGCUCUUACGGGUGGCGAGUGGCGGAUGGGUGAGGAAUACAUCGGCAUCUACUUUUUCGUGGGGGAUAACGUAGGGAAACUUACGCUAAUACCGCAUACGACCUACGGGUGAAAGCAGGGGAUCUUCGGACCUUGCGCGAUUGAAUGAGCCGAUGCCGGCUUAGCUAGUUGGCGGGGUAAAGGCCCACCAAGGCGACGAUCCGUAGCUGGUCUGAGAGGAUGAUCGGCCACACGAGAGCUGAGACGCGGUCCAGACUCCUGCGGGAGGCAGCAGUGGGGAAUAUUGGACAAUGGGCGCGAGCCUGAUCCAGCGAUACCGCGUGGGUGAAGGAGGCCUUCGGGUUGUAAAGCCCUUUUGUUGGGAAAGAAAAGCAGCAGGUUAAUACCCCGCUGUUCUGACGGUACCCAAAGAAUAAGCACCGGCUAACUUCGUG